AACAGAGAACCAUAUCAUGAGUGAACUCCCAUUCACAAUUGCUACAAAGAGAAUAAAAUACCUAGGAACACAACUUACAAGGGGUGUGAAGGACCUCUUCAGGGAGGGCCUUUUAAGAAAGUAUAAGACAUACACUGGCACCAUUGCUAGCAGAUCCAGGUGGAUCAGCCUCUAGGUGGCUUACUUGGAUGCUGAUACUGGCAGUAAUGACCUAGGUAGGUGUGAAGAUAUUCAUCAUGAAGAAAAGAUUUACUUUUUACCCUUAAAAAAUCACAACCUACCAGCCGGGCAUAGUGGUUCACGCCUGUAAUCCUAGCACUUUGGGAGGCCAAGGUGGGCAGAUCACCUGAGGUCAGGAGUUCAAGACCAGCCUGGCCAACAUGGCGAAACCCCGUCUCUACUAAAAAUACAAAAAUUAGCCGGGCAUAGUGAUGCAUGCCUGUAAUCCUAGCUACCUGGGAGGCUGAGGCAGGAGAAUCGCUGGAACCCAGGAGG
rnacentral:lncRNA from 10 species